rnacentral:tRNA from 1 species
GCGGAGUUCGUAUAUUGGUAUUAUGAGUGGUUUCCAACCACUAGAAGUCGGUUCAAUUCCGGCCCUCCGCUCCA